UUUCGAUCGUCUCUUGAGAGUUCAGUAUGUCUUGGUUGAAAUCCGUCAUGGGGACGCAAUAUUUGGUUGCAAUUCGUUCUCGAAGUAUACUAUACAGGAAGUUAAAAAAAUUUGUAGAUUGAAAGUCGAGAUCUAUUGUCUGACGAUGGGAACGGUGAUCAAAACUUGAAAAGAACAGCAAGAGUGAAUAUAAAGCACCAGCAUAUACCAGAUUCAUAACGCCCAAAAGGAGCAAGGAGGAGAGAUGAAGAAAUCUGAAAUUCUAAACUAGAGUUAAGAAUAAGAUGCAGAAGACAGGUAUCUGGAUUUAUGUAUAUAUUGAUAUCUAGUACAUGAACAUUUUUAUAGGUUUUAUUAUAUGACUAUUUAAGGAAAUCAAAUCAUAUAUGUAUAAUCAAAAGCGACAUAGAAAAAUGAGGAAAUAUAUUUCUAACAUCCCGGUGCAUAGAAGAUGUCGACUUGAGUUUGAGUACAGGUCUGAAUAGUCUUCAGUGGCUGAGACGCGGCGAAUGAGGCAACUAAGAUGUGGUGUUUGCGGGCGGCAGUCUAAUGGUGGUGCUAGCUUCUCCAAAGGGCGCAACCUUUCACGUCUUUUUCUAGUGUGCUGAACACUUAAGGUAGUAACACAUGUUUUCUCUCUUGCAUUUCUUUCCCUCCUCCUCCUACGAGCUUUAUUGUGGUAUGUUUGUUUACACUUAAGUGGAAAGUGAAAAAUAUUGUUGUUUUUUUCAUCAAAAUCUAAAACAUUAUUCGAGUUCUAGAAUUAUGGGUAUAUAAGAUUUUACAUGCCAACAUGUACAUAUUGUAAAAUUUUUAGGAGUUUCAAAUGUAAAAAAAGGCCAUAAUACGUGAAUUACGAGAUUUUAACUAAAGGAAAAGCAAAAAAAAAAAUAAAGGUUGAUCCAGCUAAAUAGCUAUCAGAAAAGAAUUCGGCCCCAAAUAAUCUUGACCGGCCUUAAUCAAGAUUUUACAAACCUAGUUCAGCACUUUUACACAAAUGGACCAUAAUUAUACGAAUAUAUACAAUACUAAAACCAAAAUGGGCAUCAUCCAGAUUUACAAUCAUAUUUCAACAUGUACUGUACUGUACCCUUGGUAGUUGGCUUAGUUUUAACCACGCAUAGAGCUACAUUUCAACGAACGUCAUUGCUAUCUUUUUUUUCUUUUUUUGGCUGCCCGCCAUGUAUACAUAUACCUAAAAAUUUGAAUGUGACAAUGUUUCAGAACUAUGAACACAUGUUUUGAUGUGGAUCCCUGCACUUUGAAUCCCCUUUUUUUUCCAAUUAGGUCAAUGAACUCUAAAUUCACUUUUUAUUGGGUCGCUCUGAUCUUUUCACGGAUAACUAGAAUCUAGGAACUGUUCAUCCGACCUUCACCUCACCUCAACUUAAUGUAAGACUCCACAAGAGGUCAGCUAACUUUAGGAUGCAUCAUCUGGUCGACCCUUCAGCUGAGGGACUUCAUCGACCAAGAAAUCAAAAUUUACCGGCUUAAUGUUUAAAACAGAAACGUUCAGAGGCUUGAUAGAGAUUGGCAAAAUUCCUACGUCUUAUAAACACUUUGCGUCAAGUUUCAGUAUCAUUGUCUUAUCUAAAUCUUCCUUUGUGGUUUUUUCUUUAUGUUCUCUUCCUGCAAAUAUGGAGGAUACACUAACGAGGUAUUUUCUCCACUCCAAUAGCUCUGAGAAACCAGUCGAACCAUGUUUUGCACUCCAGAACGAGGAGCAAUCUUGAAAAUGUUGCACAAGGAAGUAAAUGAUAAGGCUCACAACUGAGGCAGAUGAGGGAAGAGGAUCUGGAGGGGUUGGGCGUGGAGGAAUUGGGACAAUUAGAGAACAAACUCGGGGCGGGACUGAGCCUCGUGCUCAAGA